rnacentral:rRNA from 1 species
UUGAACGCACCUUGCACCUUCUGGUAUUCCGGAAGGUAUGCCCGGUUGAGUAUUAUGAUCAUCUCAAACCUCUGGCUUCUGAUCGCAAAGGUCGUACGUUCGGCGAACCCGUCUGUAGGGACGGCGGUAGCUGAAGUGCGACUUGGAAGCUUGACGGUGUUGGACUUGAGCGUCGUCGGUCCUCUUUGGAUCGACCCGUUUGAAAUGCAUUAGCUGGCGACCCGCCCUACGGUUCCACUCGGCGUGAUAAGUCUUUCGUCGAGGACGUCUUCAAGACGGCCGAAGGAUGUGGUACAGAGCCGCUUCCAAUCGUCUUUGGACAACGUUUGAACUUUAAUCUCAACUCGGGUAGGACUACCCGCUGAACUUAAGCAUAUCAAUAAGCGGAGGAAAAGAAACU